rnacentral:rRNA from 1 species
UACGUAGGUGGCAAGCGUUGUCCGGAUUUAUUGGGUUUAAAGGGUGCGUAGGAGGGCAGGUAAGUCAGUGGUGAAAUCUCCGAGCUUAACUUGGAAACUGCCGUUGAUACUAUCUGUCUUGAAUAUUGUGGAGGUGAGCGGAAUAUGUCAUGUAGCGGUGAAAUGCUUAGAUAUGACAUAGAACACCAAUUGCGAAGGCAGCUCGCUACACAUAUAUUGACUCUGAGGCACGAAAGCGUGGGGAUCAAACAGG